GCAGGACCUUGGCCAGCGUCCUCAAGGUCACCCCGAGGCUGAGAGCCUCAAUUCCAUGAGGGACAGGGACUUCAGAGAGCUCAUGAGCGACUGAAAUGGGGCCAUGCCCACUGCAACCUGUAGAGGCUCCGUGUGCUCAUCUAAAAGAGACUGUCGCCGUCUCCAAGAGGGUCAGCACCCUGAGGAGUUCUCAGGGUCCCUGAGGAGUCCAAGGCUGAGAGGUUCCCUGCGAAGGUCCCAGGAUGCUCCCAAGCCCCAAGGAAACUCCUGAGCACAUCUCAC